CUGUGUAUUCUAGGAAAAAAACACACUUCUAAAAUAUUCAUAUUUCCAUGGUUGUGUGUGUCUGUUGUGUAAGUUUUCCUUGGUGGCAGUGAACAAAGUGCUCUUCUGUGGAGCAGGCUCUCCUGUCUCCUCCAGCAGACUCAGUGUCUGUACAGGGAAUUCCUGUUCCUGGCCCAAACCCACAGGCCCUCGGCACUGGAGGACAAGGUCGGCCAUCUCACACUCUCUCUUUCUCUCGGUCUGAUAGCUGAUCUGCACUCUGGAGAAAUGGGCUCUGAAAGACAAAAAGAGGGGGGCUGAGGAGAAAGAAAGAGAGAGCACAUGUACUUCCAGCUCACCCUGUGAACCUCAGCAGCCAUUUCCUCCCUAAUACAGGAGCUGCAUUGCUGCCCACUGUUGCAGCCAUAGCUUGGAGAUUGGAUUUCAGAGGAUUCUGAGUGUUUUGGGAACAAUGUCCUGGAAUGGCCUUCCAGACAGGUGAUUUCAGCAAAACUGCCUCUGUUCAGUAUGACUUCUCCCAGCAGCCUGCUCUGAAGGUUCCGGGUGCUGGCUGGUCUUGGAGAUCCUGGUUCCCUGAGGAAAAGUGUGCAGGAGCUGGUGUCCUUGAUCUGUUGCUGCUCAAAUGUCUCCUUCCUCAGUAGCUUACUUAAGACUUUUCAAAUGGUCAGCAAAGUUCAUUGAGAGACUCAAAGUAUACAACCAACUUCCAGAGAAGAAAGGGAAAAAGCUGCCUGUUUAAGGAUACUCAGAUAAUACCAUUCCUGCCCCAUGAUGGCCUCUGAGCAAAUAAAAUAGAUCUUCUUCUCCAGUUUCAUGAUCUGCUUCCAGGGCUGAGUGGGGAGGAGGUGUAUACACAUUGGUAUAUACGUAUGCAUAUACAUGUUCUAUAUUGUCAGAGGGUUUUGUGGCUUCUGGGACAGGUCACAGCCCUUCAGACCCUCUGGAGCAGAGAGGGAGAGAAGCUCUGUGACUUGCAAAAGACCCAUGUAUGUAGCAUACAAUCCACAUAUUGGGUGUAUGUUAUGGCAAAGGUUAGUGCAUGAUCUGCCUGCUGGCUAUGAAAAUAUUUGGAAAAUUUCUCACACAUGGGAGCUUAGCCUGAUAGGUUGCAACAUAGUAUGAUCAGUUAGAGAUGCCUGGGCACUGGACAAUUUUCCUUGUUGUACUGAGGUGGAUACUAGUCCUGAGGUCUCAAAUCUUUUCCAUAAGGUGCUCUAUCAUUCAAACUCUGAUGAGUGUUCCAGUAAAAUUCACAGGCCUCACAGUCAUGGAGACCUGUUUUCUGUGGGUUUAUCUAUAAAAGGGAAUUCUUGUAUCCCAUGAUUUAUCUGUCUGUUAUACUGCUUAACUGUAGUUUUGUUGACUGUCCUUUUCAUCCUGAAAGAUUUAUGGUCUCAAAUAUGAGUCUCUCUUUUCUUAUUCUCUCUCUUGCUUAACAUACAAAGGCUGGAGCGGUGAAAGGGGAGGGAAGGAAGAAAGAAACUUAUAUGUAGACAAGGCAAAGAUUUGUGUAUGGUACAAUCAUUGUAGGUUUGCUGUACCCCAUAUCUGCUGGAAAUAAAACAAACGCUAAAUGGAUGCAUGCUAAAUUUGAAACGGGUCAGACUCCUUCUAAUUUACAAGAACUGUUCCGGAUGACAUGGUCUGUUCAGGCUGAGACCUUACUUUGGAUUGGAAGAACCAGAUAAGCACUCUUGCUCAUUCUUUAAGCAUUGUUAAUGUGUUGGUUUCAAAUCUUAGAAAGAAAGCUGAAAAUAUAUGUAAAAUAUCACUCAAAAUAUCUUAACAAGCCAAGUGAAGUGGAUCUAGCAGUGAUAUAGGUAAUCAUACAUAACAACUGAAAGAAUGCAAGGGAAAAAUAAAAGUAUACAUUUUCCUUGUCUUUUCAAGCCUUCUUUCAACAAUGUGUUUAAUGGUCUGCCUACAUUUAUGGACAUGAUUUAAGUGAAUGGGUUCUAAAUGAAAUAUCUGGCAACAAACAGCAGUAUGUUUUCAGAUAUAUGCUGACAGUUAUCUAAAAUUGUUGCUGUUAUUCAAGGCAAGGUAACUUGCUAUACAUCUUAAUCUGGUCUAUUUAUUCUUUAACAUGAUUUGAUUCUGCAAAACUCAUUGGGAUCCUCUAUUUGCUUUCCCAAAACAACAGUUCACAUACUCUCCAAGUUUUGCUCUUUUUCAAAUGAAGACGGGAAACUUGAAACAACUGCAAUUUCAUACAGUGUUAGUACAAAACUUUAUGGGACUGGGACUAAAUCUGCAUGUUUGCAGUCAAUUGUGGCCACAUCAGGGCCAUUAUCAGCUGUUACUGAAAACACUAAAUUAAAGUUUCACGCUCUUAGUGCAGCUGAUGUGUUUACUAGGUCAUAUUAUCUCCUCUGCAUGAAUCCCAAUAUUGGGGGUGCUGUUAUCUGGUCACAAAGGAGGAAAAGCACGAGAACAAGAACUGACUCAUUCCCCUCUACCCCACCCUCACCCCAGUUCUCCCCCUCUAUUCAUUACUGAGCUUCUUUUAGACAGGGAUUGAAAGCCAACUUUAGUUCUCAGUUACACUGGUGUGUAUCUGAAUAAACCCACAGCCAUCAUGGGAGAAAUUCUGGUUUUAUACUGUUAUAGGAGACAGCAAGUUUUGGCAACGACCUUUAUAUAGCAAUGUCCUGGAGUGUAAACAGCUUGCUUUUAUGCAAACAAAUUACAAAAUUGUGUAUAGAGUAAGAGAAUCCCUGCUUUUAAGCUGUCUUGCCCAGGAAAAUGAAUUAAGUCGUCCAGCUUGGAUAUGUGUAAUCCUCUUGAAUUCUUUGAAUUUAUAACUUUCUAUUGCUGUGUAAACUUGAGUUUCCUUGUGGAGAUGCCGUUCUCUCUAAUUGUUUGCUUCUUGAGGAUAUAAUUUUAAAAGAUCAUACUGUAUCUAGUCAUCUGAACCAUCUGAUGCAAUUUAAAAAAAAAUAAAAAAUCACUAAAUAUAGUUAA